CGGCAGCUAUACAUGCAAGUCGAACGGUUGGUAGCAAUACCAAUAGUGGCGCACGGGUGCGUAACGCGUAACCAACCUACCCGAAUCUGGGGGAUAGCCCGCCGAAAGGCGGAUUAAUACCGCAUAAAACUGCAGCACGGCAUCGUGUAACAGUUAAAGAUUUAUUGGAUUCGGAUGGGGUUGCGUGCCAUUAGCUAGUUGGCGGGGUAACGGCCCACCAAGGCGACGAUGGCUAGGGGAGCUGAGAGGCUGGUCCCCCACACGGGCACUGAGAUACGGGCCCGACUCCUACGGGAGGCAGCAGUAGGGAAUAUUGGGCAAUGGACGAGAGUCUGACCCAGCCAUGCCGCGUGCAGGAUGAAGGCUUUCUGAGUCGUAAACUGCUUUUACCAGGGAAAAAAAAAGGGGAUGCGUCCUCUACUGACGGUACCUGGUGAAUAAGCACCGGCUAACUCCGUGCCAGCAGCCGCGGUAAUACGGAGGGUGCAAGCGUUGUCCGGAUUUAUUGGGUUUAAAGGGUGCGUAGGCGGCUGAUUAAGUCUGGGGUGAAAGCCCGUUGCUCAACAACGGAACUGCCCUGGAAACUGGUUAGCUUGAGUACAGACGAGGGUGGCGGAAUGGAUACUGUAGCGGUGAAAUGCAUAGAUAGUAUCCAGAACC
rnacentral:rRNA from 1 species